UGCUGGUCCAAGUGCAGUGGUGUUUACAAUGAACCGAUCACAACUAGCUACACAUUCCUUUGUUCCUUCUCUACUCCCACUGCUUCACUUGACUAGCCUUAG
ensembl:misc_RNA Y_RNA Y RNA